rnacentral:rRNA from 1 species
GACGAACGCUGGCGGCGUGCCUAAUACAUGCAAGUCGAGCGGACGGAUGGGAGCUUGCUCCCAGACCGUCAGCGGCGGACGGGUGAGUAACACGUGGGCAACCUGCCUGUAAGACUGGGAUAACUCCGGGAAACCGGGGCUAAUACCGGAUAACUCUUUCCCUCACAUGAGGGAAAGCUGAAAGAUGGCAUCUCGCUAUCACUUACAGAUGGGCCCGCGGCGCAUUAGCUAGUUGGUGAGGUAACGGCUCACCAAGGCGACGAUGCGUAGCCGACCUGAGAGGGGGAUCGGCCACACGGGGACUGAGACCCGGCCCAGACUCCUACGGGAGGCAGCAGUAGGGAAUCUUCCGCAAUGGACGAAAGUCUGACGGAGCAACGCCGCGUGAGUGAUGAAGGUUUUCGGAUCGUAAAACUCUGUUGUCAGGGAAGAACAAGUACCGGAGUAACUGCCGGUACCUUGACGGUACCUGACCAGAAAGCCACGGCUAACUACGUG